rnacentral:RNase_P_RNA from 1 species
UGGGUCGGUGAGACGGUCGCGUCGCGGCGCGCACCCCGUGCGCGUCGCGCCGAGGAACGUCCGGGCUGCACAGAGGAGGACGGUGGGUAACGCCCACCCGGGGUGACCCGCGAGCAAGUGCAACAGAGAGCAGACCGACCGCCCCGGCUCGCCGGGGUGGCACGGGUGAAAGGGUGGUGUAAGAGACCACCGGCGUCCGUGGCGACACGGGCGGCCAGGUAAACCUCGUCCGCAGCAAGGCCGUACAGCAGACGACGACGCUCCUCGCCGAGUCUGCGGGUUGGCCGCUGGAGGGUACUGGCAACAGUGCCCCGAGAGAGAUGACCGUCACCGGGCCGCUUCGGCGGCGCGGGACAGAACCCGGCGUAUGAUCCGGCCCAUUCC